rnacentral:rRNA from 1 species
UGAUUACGCCAAGCUAUUUAGGUGACACUAUAGAAUACUCAAGCUAUGCAUCCAACGCGUUGGGAGCUCUCCCAUAUGGUCGACCUGCAGGCGGCCGCGAAUUCACUAGUGAUUAGAGUUUGAUCCUGGCUCAGAUUGAACGCUGGCGGAAUGCUUUACACAUGCAAGUCGASCGGCAGCGCGGGGGCAACCCUGGCGGCGAGCGGCGAACGGGUGAGUAAUACAUCGGAACGUACCCUGUCGUGGGGGAUAACUAACCGAAAGGUUAGCUAAUACCGCAUACGACCUGAGGGUGAAAGCGGGGGAUCGCAAGACCUCGCGCGAUAGGASCGGCCGAUGUCGGAUUAGCUAGUUGGUGAGGUAAAGGCUCACCAAGGCGACGAUCCGUAGCUGGUCUGAGAGGACGACCAGCCACMCUGGAACUGAGACACGGUCCAGACUCCUMCGGGAGGCAGCAGUGGGGAAUUUUGGACAAUGGGGGCAACCCUGAUCCAGCCAUUCCGCGUGAGUGAAGAAGGCCUUCSGGUYGUAAAGCUCUUYCAGCAGGAACGAAMCGGYSGUCMMUMMCMCWGSCUACRRMUGACGGU